UACAGAGGUCUCAAGCGUUGUUCGGAUUCAUUGGGCGUAAAGGGCGCGUAGGCGGCGGGGUAAGUCGGGUGUGAAAUCUCAGAGCUCAACUCUGAAAUGGCACUUGAUACUGCUCUGCUAGAGGACUGGAGAGGAGAUUGGAAUUCACGGUGUAGCAGUGAAAUGCGUAGAUAUCGUGAGGAAGACCAGUGGCGAAGGCGGAUCUCUGGACAGUUCCUGACGCUGAGGCGCGAAGGCCAGGGGAGCAAACGGG
rnacentral:rRNA from 1 species